UGGGGAAUAUUGCACAAUGGGGGAAACCCUGAUGCAGCGACGCCGCGUGAGCGAAGAAGUAUCUCGGUAUGUAAAGCUCUAUCAGCAGGGAAGAAGAAUGACGGUACCUGACUAAGAAGCCCCGGCUAACUACGUGCC
rnacentral:rRNA from 1 species